rnacentral:rRNA from 1 species
AUCCUGGGCGUACACACACGCUACAAUGGCCGGUACAGUAGGUAGCGAAGCCGCGAGGUGGAGCCAAUCCACAAAGCCGGUCUCAGUUCAGAUUGCAGGCUGCAAUUCGCCUGCAUGAAGUCGGAAUCGCUAGUAAUCGCAGGUCAGCAUACUGCGGUGAAUACGUUCCCGGGCCUU